rnacentral:rRNA from 1 species
GACCUCAGAUCGGACAAGA